UUCUGGAGCUCGGAGUGGGUGCUGCUGUAGCCGCCUGAACGGGGGUCCACUUUGGGAGAGAUGAUGCGGUGUUUGGCGCUGUUACAUUUGUGAUGUACGCUGCUCCCAGCGCCUGCAGAGACAGACACAAACAGCUACUGGAACAUUACGCCCCCCAGUGGCAUCAUUGCAACAGACAGCUGAAUAAAUCAGUACAUCUCUAAAAUGCUCAGCCUGGACUUUUCUCUAACUAGACAAUCAGCCUGGCAGCCCCGCUGCCUGUCCCUUACCCAGCGUGCCCGUGCAGAGGCAGUUGUGAGUCCGGGGAGGAGGCUUGGUCUGGUGGCUGUCCAGUAUCUGCUGUACCAGCUGCUCCACAGAGAAGCCAGAGC